GUUAUGCUAAUGGUCUUCCACUAGCAAUUAAAGUAUUGGGCUCAUUUUUGUUUGGUCGUAAUGUGACUGAAUGGAAGAGUGCAUUGGCUAGAUUGAGAGAAAGGCCAGAUAACGAUGU
rnacentral:pre_miRNA from 1 species